rnacentral:rRNA from 1 species
CCUACGGGGGGCAGCAGUGGGGAAUAUUGGACAAUGGGCGAAAGCCUGAUCCAGCCAUGCCGCGUGUGUGAAGAAGGCCUUCGGGUUGUAAAGCACUUUCAGUGGGGAAGAAAGCCUUGGGGCUAAUACCCUCGAGGAAGGACAUUACCCACAGAAGAAGCACCGGCUAACUCCGUGCCAGCAGCCGCGGUAAUACGGAGGGUGCGAGCGUUAAUCGGAAUUACUGGGCGUAAAGCGCGCGUAGGCGGUCUGAUAAGCCGGCUGUGAAAGCCCCGGGCUCAACCUGGGAACGGCAUCCGGAACUGUCAGGCUAGAGUGCAGGAGAGGAAGGUAGAAUUCCCGGUGUAGCGGUGAAAUGCGUAGAGAUCGGGAGGAAUACCAGUGGCGAAGGCGGCCUUCUGGACUGACACUGACGCUGAGGUGCGAAAGCGUGGGUAGCAAACAGGAUUAGAUACCCCUGUAGUC